rnacentral:rRNA from 1 species
GUACUUGUACUGAUUGAGAUUUUAACACGAAGUGAGUGGCGAACGGGUGAGUAACACGUGGGUAACCUGCCCAGAAGUAGGGGAUAACACCUGGAAACAGAUGCUAAUACCGUAUAACAGAGAAAACCGCAUGGUUUUCUUUUAAAAGAUGGCUCUGCUAUCACUUCUGGAUGGACCCGCGGCGUAUUAGCUAGUUGGUGAGGUAAAGGCUCACCAAGGCAGUGAUACGUAGCCGACCUGAGAGGGUAAUCGGCCACAUUGGGACUGAGACACGGCCCAGACUCCUACGGGAGGCAGCAGUAGGGAAUCUUCCACAAUGGACGCAAGUCUGAUGGAGCAACGCCGCGUGAGUGAAGAAGGGUUUCGGCUCGUAAAGCUCUGUUGUUAAAGAAGAACGUGGGUAAGAGUAACUGUUUACCCAGUGACGGUAUUUAACCAGAAAGCCACGGCUAACUACGUGCCAGCAGCCGCGGUAAUACGUAGGUGGCAAGCGUUAUCCGGAUUUAUUGGGCGUAAAGCGAGCGCAGGCGGUCUUUUAAGUCUAAUGUGAAAGCCUUCGGCUCAACCGAAGAAGUGCAUUGGAAACUGGGAGACUUGAGUGCAGAAGAGGACAGUGGAACUCCAUGUGUAGCGGUGAAAUGCGUAGAUAUAUGGAAGAACACCAGUGGCGAAGGCGGCUGUCUGGUCUGCAACUGACGCUGAGGCUCGAAAGCAUGGGUAGCGAACAGGAUUAGAUACCCUGGUAGUCCAUGCCGUAAACGAUGAUUACUAAGUGUUGGAGGGUUUCCGCCCUUCAGUGCUGCAGCUAACGCAUUAAGUAAUCCGCCUGGGGAGUACGACCGCAAGGUUGAAACUCAAAAGAAUUGACGGGGGCCCGCACAAGCGGUGGAGCAUGUGGUUUAAUUCGAAGCUACGCGAAGAACCUUACCAGGUCUUGACAUCUUCUGACAGUCUAAGAGAUUAGAGGUUCCCUUCGGGGACAGAAUGACAGGUGGUGCAUGGUUGUCGUCAGCUCGUGUCGUGAGAUGUUGGGUUAAGUCCCGCAACGAGCGCAACCCUUAUUACUAGUUGCCAGCAUUAAGUUGGGCACUCUAGUGAGACUGCCGGUGACAAACCGGAGGAAGGUGGGGACGAC